rnacentral:rRNA from 1 species
GAUGAACGCUAGCGGGAGGCCUAACACAUGCAAGCCGAGCAGUAUGGAUAGCUUGCUAUCCAGAGAGCGGCGUACGGGUGCGUAACACGUGUGCAACCUACCUUUAUCUGGGGGAUAGCCUUUCGAAAGGAAGAUUAAUACCCCAUAAUAUAAUGAUUGGCAUCAAUUAUUAUUGAAAACUCCGGUGGAUAGAGAUGGGCACGCGCAAGAUUAGAUAGUUGGUGAGGUAACGGCUCACCAAGUCAAUGAUCUUUAGGGGUCCUGAGAGGGAGAUCCCCCACACUGGUACUGAGACACGGACCAGACUCCUACGGGAGGCAGCAGUGAGGAAUAUUGGACAAUGGGUGAAAGCCUGAUCCAGCCAUCCCGCGUGAAGGAUGACGGUCCUAUGGAUUGUAAACUUCUUCUGUACAGGGAUAAACCUACUCUCGUGAGGGUAGCUGAAGGUACUGUACGAAUAAGCACCGGCUAACUCCGUGCCAGCAGCCGCCGCCGUAA